rnacentral:rRNA from 1 species
UACGAGGGGGGCGAGCGUUGUUCGGAAUUAUUGGGCGUAAAGGGUGCGUAGGCGGUUUUGUAAGUCUUAUGUGAAAUCUAUGGGCUCAACUCAUAGACCUAGCAUGAGAAACUGCAGGGCUUGAGUAUGGGAGAGGUGAGUGGAAUUCCUGGUGUAGCGGUGAAAUGCGUAGAUAUCGAGGAGGAACACCUGUGGCGAAAGCGGCUCACUGGACAAUUGCUGACGCUCGAGGCAACGAAAGCGUGGGGAGCAAAAGGG